rnacentral:rRNA from 1 species
UACGGAGGGAGCUAGCGUUAUUCGGAAUUACUGGGCGUAAAGCGCACGUAGGCGGCUUUGUAAGUAAGAGGUGAAAGCCCAGAGCUCAACUCUGGAAUUGCCUUUUAGACUGCAUCGCUUGAAUCAUGGAGAGGUCAGUGGAAUUCCGAGUGUAGAGGUGAAAUUCGUAGAUAUUCGGAAGAACACCAGUGGCGAAGGCGGCUAACUGGCCCAUUACUGACGCUGAGGCUCGAAAGCGUGGGGAGCAAACAGGGA